rnacentral:sRNA from 1 species
AGGGAAUACAUGCCCACUUUGGAGGAAUUCUUUGAAGAAGCCAUUGAACAGGCAGACCCUGAAAAUAUGGUUGAAAAUGAAUAUAAGGCUGUGAACAAUUCAAAUUAUGGUUGGAGAGCCCUGAGACUAUUAGCACGGAGAAGCCCUCACUUCUUCCAGCCAACCAACCAGCAGUUUAAAAGUUUACCAGAAUAUCUUGAAAAUAUGGUAAUAAAGCUAGCCAAGGAAUUACCGGUAAGUACCAUAGAUCAACUUUUCAUACCCUUUAGUUGACAUCUUCUUUAAAAUUGCUGUCACUAUGUGAGCAAAAAACUGACUUAAUCAUGUGAAAAACCAGUGAUCCACAAGCUCCCAUGUUUUAGAAUGAGGGAAAAACACAUUGGAAUAUACAUUUACAGGAAAUACAUGAGUUGAUAAAGAAGUAACUGAUAAUUUUCUGUACAGCAUGUAAUUUAAAGUUCAACAGGGCUGUGGGUGUGGUGGCUCACGCCUGUAAUCCCAGCACUGUGGG